CUGCAGUACUCAAUGGCAACGCGCAUGACGGAAGUCGUCACUGCAAGUCAGUAGCAAAUAUUCCGACGUUUGCGAAUUUUGUUAGCACUGCGUGUGUUAAUUUCAUGAUAUAGUUAAUUACGUAGCUGCCGUAAUAAUACGCGGGGUUAGUGUGCAGUCAGUUUGCUCUGGAAAUCUGUCCAGCAGUCUAAAUAUGGUUCUGAAGGGUCGCCGGAAAUGACUUUUACUGGCUUAAAGAAAUCACAUCCGACCUGUGCAUCAUGAGGAUGGCACGGCGAGUAUUCGUGAUCAUAUAACAGCACACUCUCGCCGCCGGAGAGGGGUUAUUAUUAUUUUUUUAGCGAGGACUGACAGUUGUAAACGUGAACGCGAUAUAGUCCCUUUAAAAGAUGUUGUCCAAUCCUCCGGCUGAGCAGAAAGGGACAGAGCAGGUGCCUGCGUCUGCGGCUGGUCCAUGCCAUCGUGCUGCUCAGUCUUUGCUGUAUCAGGAGCAGCUGCCUGUAGGAUGCAGAGAAACCAGCAGGGAGGAGAUUGAAUCUGGUGACACAACACGAUCCUCAGACUUUGGGAAAGGCGUGAAGGAAGUUCAUUUGGAGAAUGAAGGAGCUCUGAGACAGAUGACAUUUGAUCCAAAAAGUAGUAACUUUGGAGUCGGUCCUCGUUCGACUCGCAUGCACAUGUGUACUCAGCAAGAGGCCAAGUUUAGGGAUCCACGAUGGACAUCUGCCACCUUCAAUUCUUCUCCUCCAGCUGGACCAUCAGGAGAGCAACUUGGAACUCUGGGAAGAUUUCUUGUGUCCCAUCAAACUGAGAUGAAGCGUCUGCUAACUGAUACCUUCGGAUCUCUUACUCAGCGUCUUGAGGCAGUGGAGAGGAGGAUGGACCAACUGUGUUCACAAAGCAGUGCACAUACCCACAGUUUAGCUCAGCUGCACAGUAAAGUUGGCCAGCUGGGAAGAGACUUGUCCUUUAGCUGUCCAAAUACUCCAAGUGUUUCAUCAGCUUGCAGUUAUGGUAAAUGUUCAAGUUAGCAUUAUAAACAGUCGGUUAAUUUAAUUAUUAUGUAACUUGAAGCUAAUUUCAUAUAAUCUGAAAGAUCCCAACCCAAAUGCUGUGAUGAGCAGAGUUUUCUUUCCUGUGUUGAUAUGAAUUUGCAGUGGGAAAAAAAGAUAACUUUUUUAAUAACUAAUAUCAUGUAAUUUAUGUUAAAGCCACA
rnacentral:lncRNA from 1 species